GCUUUUCCCGCGUGCUCCCGGGGCUGAAGGACGUUCCCGGGGAAGCCGCUGCUGGCGCGUGGGGUCCCGGUGGCUGUGGGGGACGCGCCGGGAUCUCCGGGAUCCCGCAGCCCGCCGCCGCUGCCGGUGGGGAGCCGGACGCGGGGGGCCUCGGGGCUGAGGUCCGCAGGGGUGCCGCGCCCUGGAGUCCGACUGCCUAGGAGUCCGGGCGUCGCUGCCGGCCGUGGGGGAGGGGCGAGCCUCCCGCCAGGCCCCGCCCCCUCGGCGCCGCGUCCCCACGGCCCCGGCGCCGCCCGCCUGCGCCCGCCUCCUGUGCCCGCCCCCGGUGAGCUCCGUUGUCCCCUUUUCUGGCGGCUUAAAAUACCGAAACUUUAUUUUGGUCACGUUGCCCAUGUGACCCGCGGAGCGGAUGACUCAUGGUUGCCUGUCCCAGGAUGAGGCCGCCGGCCGAAAGCAGAGAAGCGCCAGCCCCGGCCGCCCGGGUGGAGCGCUGGGCAGCCGAGUUUCCCACCCUCCUCAAUCCGGAGAGUCCGCGCGGGGCUUUUCCUAAUAAAUAGCCAGGCACCCGCUGCCCUCGCGCUGCGUACGGGAGCACGUGCCCCCCGGGAGGUGGGCGCCCGCCAGGUGCCCCGGGAACGAGCCUAGGAACCGGGUCCGCCGAGUGCGGCUCUCGGGGCGGCUAGGCGUGCGGGUGGCUGGGCAGCGCUCCCAGGGACCGGCCUCUCUCCGGAGAAAGUAAGGAAUUCUGCUCCUGGGCAGGUAAUACCGGAAACAAAAGGAGAGGCUGCAAUCGCAAAUUGUUUAAAAAGAAGAAAAAGGAAAGAAAAGUUGAAUGUAAGAGCUCCAGCCCCUCAAUGUGAUCUUGUACGGUUUGCAGUAAGAACAUUUCAUUCUUCCGCAUUUUAUUUUUCCUUUUGCUACUGUUGGUGACAACUAGCAAAAUAAGUGAAAAAUCCUCGUUCAAGUGUUCUGGCAUUAAGAUUGACUGUCACACUGAAUUCUGUGCCAAUCCUAACAACAUGUGUUCUUUUUCUGGUCUUCACAAGUAAGAAUGUCUUAGGUUUUCCAGAAAUAAAGAUGUCCCAAAAGAAUGUUUUGUGUUACACACUCAUUCUUCAAGAAACUUUAAUUUUAUGAGCCUCAAAAAUUGCAAAAUUUUAACAACGGCGGGACAAUAUUUUAUCGAUUAGCAUUCUUAAUAGCACCUAUGUUGACGAUUUGUGUGGAGAAACGGAUUCUUAAAAGAAGUGCUGGUGGCAUUGUAAAUUAGUAUAUUCCUUUCGAAAAGCAAUUUUACAGUAUGUAUUAAAAGCCAUAAAAAUGUCUGCAUCUUUUGACCCAGUGAUCUUACUUCUGGGAAUCUGUUCUAAGGAAAUAACACUAAAUGCCAGAAAAGCUGUAUGUGUGAAGGUAUUCUUCACAGGAUCACUGUACUUAACUACAACAAAAAAUUGGGAGCAUCCUACAUGUGCUAAUAUUGGGUAUUUAGUAAAUUGUGUUACAUCUACACAGUGGAACAUUAUGGUAGUUGUAGACAUCAGAAACAGAAAAUCACCCAUUGCUAGAUAGAGGGGGCAAUACCCAAAAUUAUGGUGUUCAUUUAUGAGGUGAGAUGAUAGGCUAAAAAAACUGCAUUUUAAAAAAGACCGAUACAGGCCGGGUGCAGUGGUUCACGCCUGUCAAUCCUAGCACUUUGGGAGGCCAAGGUGGGCAGAUCACUUGAAGCCAGGAGUUCGAGACCAGCCUGGCCAGCAUGACAAAACCCCGUCUCCACUAAAAAUAUAAAAAUUAGGUGGGCAAGGUGGCAGGCGCCUGAGGUCUCAGCUACUUGGAAGGCUGAGGCAAGAGAAUUGCUUGAACCCAGCGGGCAGAGGUUGCAGUGAGCCAAUAUCGCACCACUGCACUCCAGCUUGGGUGACAAGAGCAAGACUCCACCUCAAAAAAAAAAAAAAUAGACUGAUAACAUACACCAAAUAAAUGACGUAUGGGGGAUUAUAAGUGAGUUUUUUUUAAUUGCCUAUUUUCUAUAAUAUAGCUGUUUUUGUUGUUGUUUUUUGGUUUUUUUUUUGUUUUGUUUUUUUGAGAUGGAGUUUCACUCUUGUUGUCCAGGCUGGAGUUCAAUGGCGCAAUCUCGGCUCACCGCAACCUCUGCCUCCCGGGUUCAAGCGAUUCUCCUGCCUCAACCUCCAGAGUAGCUGGGAUUACAGGCAUGCGCCACCAUGCUCAGCUAAUUUUGUAUUUUUAAUAGAGACAGGGUUUCUCCAUGUUGGUCAGGGUGGUCUCAAACUCCCAACCUCCAGUGAUGCGCCUGCCUCAGCCUCCCAAAGUGCUGGGAUUACAGGCAUGAGCCACCACGCCUGGCCUCUAUGUUACUUUUAUCAUUAAAACACUCAUUUAAAUUGAAAGAAAGGUGAAUAAAGUUGAGUGUCUUCCUUCAAGAGACUCCCAACUUGGCCAGGUUCACAAACAUAAGCAGCAGCAGGACAGGUGCGAUGGGAACACCGGAGAAGGUCACAAACAUCACCUGGGCCUCAACACCAUCACCAUUGAAAUUACCUUAGCCUCAGGCCACAACAGUGGUUCUCAAAACAGUGGUUCUCUAGGGACCUUGGUCGAGCAGAGGGAGCCCCAAGACUCAAGGGACCCAAAAGUCAAAACUUUUUUAGACAGGGUCCUGCUCUGUCGCCCAGGCUGGAGUGCAGUAGUGCCAUCAAAGCUCACUGUAGCCUCGAACUCCUGGGCUGCAGUAAUCCUCCCACCUCAGCCUCCCCGGUAGCUAGAACCACAAGCAUGCACCACCAUGCCCAGCUAAUUUUUAAGUUUUGUAGAGACAGGGUCUCACCUUGUUGCCCAGGCUGGUCUCAAACUCCUGAGCUCGAGUGAUCCUCCCACCUCAGCCUCUUGAAGUGCACGGAUUACAGGCAUAAGCCACCACACCUGACUUCAGAACUAUUUUUAUAGCAAUGAUAUGUCAAUUUCUCCCAACACUGCACUCUGUGUGCAGUGUUUUCCAGAGGCUGCAAGAUACGUGAUCUCACAACAGGCUGAAUGCAGAAGAUUCAGAAGCAGAGAAGAAUCCAGCAGUCUUCUACUGUCAGAUAUUAAAGUGAUUUGCAAAACUAAAACAAUCUCACACUUACCACUAAUUUUAUUUUAGAAAAUGUAGGUAUUUCUCAUAAAAAUAGGAUUUAUGUUGACAUGUAAUGGGUUUAUUCUCUUUUUUGUUGUUCUUUUGAGAUAGGGUCUCACUCUGUUGCCCAGGCUGGAGUGCCGUGCAAUCAAGGCUCACUGCAGCUUUAACCUCCUGGGCUCAAGCAAUUAGCCUCUUGAGUAGCUAGGAAUACAGGUGGGCGCCACCAUGCCCACCUGUAUUUUUUGUAGAGAUGAGGUUUUGCCACGUUGUCCGUGAUGGUCUCCAACGGAGUCUUACUCUGUUGCCCAGGCUGGAGUGCAGUGGCACGAUCUCGGCUCACUGAAACCUCUGCCUCCCGGGUUCAAGCGAUUCUCCUGCCUCACCUCUUGAGUAUCUGGGAUUACAGGCACCCGCCACCAUACCUGGCUAAUUUUUGUAUUUUUAGUAGAGACGGGGUUUCACCAUGUUGGUCAGGCUGGUCUCAAACUCCUGACCUCGUUAUCCGCUGGCGUCAGCCUCCCAAAGUGCUGGGAUUACAGGCGUGAGCCACCGCGCCCAGCUUGAAUCCUUAAAUUUUAAGUGUGGAAAAAGAUCUUGAGACUCAAGAGUUUGGGAACCACUGGGCUAGAGAAUGAGAUCUUUUUGGGGCUGGCUGGUUGGUGUUUCUGUUUGCUUGGGAGGGUAACCAAGAGAUGGGCAUUUCAAGUAAAGGAAGCAGCUUGCAUUACUAAAUGAGCCCAUUUAGAAAAGAGAGUUGGAAG
rnacentral:lncRNA from 10 species